rnacentral:rRNA from 1 species
CAUGCAAGUCGUGCGAGAAAGUAUCUUCGGAUAUGAGUAGAGCGGCGGACGGGUGAGUAACGCGUAGGAAUCUACCUAGUAGAAGGGGAUAGCCCGGGGAAACCCGGAUUAAUACCGUAUACCUCCUUCGGGAGAAAGAAGGCCUCUCUUUGAAGCUUUCGCUACUAGAUGAGCCUGCGUAAGAUUAGCUUGUUGGUGAGGUAAAGGCUCACCAAGGCUACGAUCUUUAGCGGGUCUGAGAGGGCGAUCAGCCACAUUGGGACUGAGACACGGCCCAGACUCCUACGGGAGGCAGCAGUGGGGAAUAUUGGACAAUGGGCGCAAGCCUGAUCCAGCCAUACCGCGUGUGUGAAGAAGGCCUUCGGGUUGUAAAGCACUUUAAGCAGGGAGAAAAAGUUAUAAGUUAAUACCUUAUAACCCUGAUGUUACCUGCAGAAUAAGCACCGGCUAAUUCCGUGCCAGCAGCCGCGGUAAUACGGAAGGUGCAAGCGUUAAUCGGAAUUACUGGGCGUAAAGCGCGCGUAGGUGGUUUGUUAAGUUGGAUGUGAAAGCCCUGGGCUCAACCUAGGAACUGCAUCCAAAACUAACUCACUAGAGUACGAUAGAGGGAGGUAGAAUUCAUAGUGUAGCGGUGGAAUGCGUAGAUAUUAUGAAGAAUACCAGUGGCGAAGGCGGCCUCCUGGAUCUGUACUGACA